AUUGAACGCUAGCGGCAGGCCUAACACAUGCAAGUCGCCCGAGCGGCGGACGGGUGAGUAAUGUAUGUGGACUGCCCGCUAGAUGGGGAUAACUACUGGGAACGGUCGCUAAUACCGCAUACGAUCGGAUAACCCAUAUGGGAUUAGCUAGUAGGUGAGGUACUGGCUCACCUAGUCGACGGACCCUAGCUGGUCUGUGAGGAUGAGCAGCCACACCGAGACUGAGACGGGGAAAAGACACCUACGGAGGCAGUGGUGUGGAAUAUUGCAAAAAGGGCGCGAGUCUGAUGCAGCCAUGCAGCGUGUAUGAAGAAGGCCCUGGGGUUGUAAAGUACUUUCAGUCGGGAGGCGGUACCGACAGAAGAAGCACCGGCUAACUCCGUGCCAGCAGCCGCGGUAAUUC
rnacentral:rRNA from 1 species